UUUACACUUUAAUUUUUCAAAAUGAAUGCAAAAACAUUAUUUUUGUCUUUCCUCAUAAUUUCUUGUGUAAUUGCAAUGGCGUAUGCAACAGCUAAUCCAGGCGGUAACAUCGUUACAGUGAAAGAUAAAAACGAGGCGGACGACCAAAAUCCACAAUCUACGGGAGUAUCUCAGAAGCAAAGUAAAGGAAUUAGAGGAUUCCUAGGAAGACAUAAUAUGUAAUUUUUUAAUAUAAUAAAUAUAAUAGAAUUUU